GGGUGCGUAGCUUAAAUGAGUAGAGCAACAGUUUGUGGAACUGUUUAGUGCGGGUUCGAGCCCCGUCGCACCCACCA
rnacentral:tRNA from 1 species